AUGGAGCCGACCUUGAAAUACCACCCUUUAAUGUUUGAUGUUCUAACGUUGACCCGUAAUCCGGGUUGCGGACAGUGUCUGGUGGGUAGUUUGACUGGGGCGGUCUCCUCCUAAAGAGUAACGGAGGAGCACGAAGGUUGGCUAAUCCUGGUCGGACAUCAGGAGGUUAGUGCAAUGGCAUAAGCCAGCUUGACUGCGAGCGUGACGGCGCGAGCAGGUGCGAAAGCAGGUCAUAGUGAUCCGGUGGUUCUGAAUGGAAGGGCCAUCGCUCAACGGAUAAAAGGUACUCCGGGGAUAACAGGCUGAUACCGCCCAAGAGUUCAUAUCGACGGCGGUGUUUGGCACCUCGAUGUCGGCUCAUCACAUCCUGGGGCUGAAGUAGGUCCCAAGGGUAUGGCUGUUCGCCAUUUAAAGUGGUACGCGAGCUGGGUUUAGAACGUCGUGAGACAGUUCGGUCCCUAUCUGCCGUGGGCGCUGGAGAACUGAGGGGGGCUGCUCCUAGUACGAGAGGACCGGAGUGGACGCAUCACUGGUGUUCGGGUUGUCAUGCCAAUGGCACUGCCCGGUAGCUAAAUGCGGAAGAGAUAAGUGCUGAAAGCAUCUAAGCACGAAACUUGCCCCGAGAUGAGUUCUCCCUGACCCUUUAAGGGUCCUGAAGGA
rnacentral:rRNA from 1 species